rnacentral:rRNA from 1 species
CACGUAGGGCGCAAGCGUUGUCCGGAAUUAUUGGGCGUAAAGAGCUCGUAGGCGGUCUGUUGCGUCCGCUGUGAAAACUAGGGGCUUAACCCCGAGCCUGCAGUGGAUACGGGCAGACUAGAGGUAGGUAGGGGAGAAUGGAAUUCCCGGUGUAGCGGUGAAAUGCGCAGAUAUCGGGAGGAACACCGGUGGCGAAGGCGGUUCUCUGGGCCUUACCUGACGCUGAGGAGCGAAAGCGUGGGGAGCGAACAGG